rnacentral:rRNA from 1 species
GACGAACGCUGGCGGCGUGCUUAACACAUGCAAGUCGAACGAUGAAGCGGUGCUUGCACCGUGGAUUAGUGGCGAACGGGUGAGUAAUACGUGAGUGACCUACCUUUGACUCUGGGAUAAGCCUGGGAAACUGGGUCUAAUACCGGAUACGACCAAUCUCUGCAUGGGGUGUUGGUGGAAAGCGUUAUGGAGUGGUUUUAGAUGGGCUCACGGCCUAUCAGCUUGUUGGUGAGGUAAUGGCUUACCAAGGCGACGACGGGUAGCCGGCCUGAGAGAGUGACCGGCCACACUGGGACUGAGACACGGCCCAGACUCCCACGGGAGGCAGCAGUGGGGAAUAUUGCACAAUGGGCGCAAGCCUGAUGCAGCGACGCCGCGUGAGGGAUGACGGCCUUCGGGUUGUAAACCUCUGUUAGCAUCGAAGAAGCGAAAGUGACGGUAGGUGCAGAGAAAGCGCCGGCCAACUACGUGCCAGCAGCCGCGGUAAUACGUAGGGCGCGAGCGUUGUCCGGAAUUAUUGGGCGUAAAGAGCUUGUAGGCGGUUGGUCGCGUCUGCUGUGAAAGGCCGGGGCUUAACUCCGGUUUUGCAGUGGGUACGGGCUAACUAGAGUGCAGUAGGGGAGACUGGAAUUCCUGGUGUAGCGGUGGAAUGCACAGAUAUCAGGAGGAACACCGAUGGCGAAGGCAGGUCUCUGGGCUGUAACUGACGCUGAGAAGCGAAAGCAUGGGGAGCGAACAGGAUUAGAUACCCUGGUAGUCCAUGCCGUAAACGUUGGGCACUAGGUGUGGGGGACAUUCCACGUUUUCCGCGCCGUAGCUAACGCAUUAAGUGCCCCGCCUGGGGAGUACGGCCGCAAGGCUAAACUCAAAGGAAUUGACGGGGGCCCGCACAAGCGGCGGAGCAUGCGGAUUAAUUCGAUGCAACGCGAAGAACCUUACCAAGGCUUGACAUGCAUUAGAUCGCGUCAGAGAUGGCGUUUCCCUUCGGGGCUGGUGUACAGGUGGUGCAUGGUUGUCGUCAGCUCGUGUCGUGAGAUGUUGGGUUAAGUCCCGCAACGAGCGCAACCCUCGUUCUAUGUUGCCAGCGGUUCGGCCGGGGACUCAUAGGAGACUGCCGGGGUCAACUCGGAGGAAGGUGGGGAUGACGUCAAAUCAUCAUGCCCCUUAUGUCUUGGGCUUCACGCAUGCUACAAUGGCCGGUACAGAGGGUUGCGAUACUGUGAGGUGGAGCUAAUCCCUUAAAGCCGGUCUCAGUUCGGAUUGGGGUCUGCAACUCGACCCCAUGAAGUCGGAGUCGCUAGUAAUCGCAGAUCAGCAACGCUGCGGUGAAUACGUUCCCGGGCCU